GUGGGGAAUAUUGGACAAUGGGCGCAAGCCUGAUCCAGCCAUGCCGCGUGAGUGAUGAAGGCCUUCGGGUUGUAAAGCUCUUUAGCCGAUGAUUAUAAUGACUGUAGUCGGAAAAUAAGCCCCGGCUAACUUCGUGCCAGCAGCCGCGGUAAUACGAAGGGGGCGAGCGUUAUUCGGAAUCACUGGGCGUAAAGCGUGCGUAGGCGGCUUUGCAAGUUGGGAGUGAAAGCCCAGGGCUCAACCCGUGAAGUGCUCUCAAAACUGCAAGGCUCGAAUUCGGGAGAGGAUAGCGGAAUUGUCAGUGUAGCAGUGAAAUGCGUAGAUAUUGACAGGAACACCAGUGGCGUAAGCGGCUAUCUGGACCGAUAUUGACGCUGAGGCACGAAAGCGUGGGGAUCAAACAGGAUUAGAAACCCCUGUAGUCC
rnacentral:rRNA from 1 species